AGUUUGAUCCUGGCUCAGGAUGAACGCUAGCUACAGGCUUAACACAUGCAAGUCGAGGGGCAGCAUGUCGGUUGCUUGCAACCGAUGAUGGCGACCGGCGCACGGGUGAGUAACGCGCAUCCAACCUACCCUUGUCCAUCGGAUAACCCGUCGAAAGGCGGCCUAACACGAUAUGCGGUUCACCGCAGGCAUCUAACGUGAACGAAAUGUGAAGGAGAAGGAUGGGGAUGCGUCUGAUUAGCUUGUUGGCGGGGUAACGGCCCACCAAGGCUACGAUCAGUAGGGGUUCUGAGAGGAAGGUCCCCCACAUUGGAACUGAGACACGGUCCAAACUCCUACGGGAGGCAGCAGUGAGGAAUAUUGGUCAAUGGACGAGAGUCUGAACCAGCCAAGUAGCGUGCAGGAUGACGGCCCUAUGGGUUGUAAACUGCUUUUAUAGGGGGAUAAAGUGUGUCACGUGUGGCAUAUUGCAGGUACCCUAUGAAUAAGGACCGGCUAAUUCCGUGCCAGCAGCCGCGGUAAUACGGAAGGUCCGGGCGUUAUCCGGAUUUAUUGGGUUUAAAGGGAGCGUAGGCCGUUUGGUAAGCGUGUUGUGAAAUGUCGGGGCUCAACCUGGGCAUUGCAGCGCGAACUGCCAGACUUGAGUGCGCAGGAAGUAGGCGGAAUUCGUCGUGUAGCGGUGAAAUGCUUAGAUAUGACGAAGAACUCCGAUUGCGAAGGCAGCCUGCUGUAGCGCAACUGACGCUGAAGCUCGAAAGCGUGGGUAUCGAACAGGAUUAGAUACCCUGGUAGUCCACGCGGUAAACGAUGGAUGCUCGCUGUUUGCGUCUGACGUAAGCGGCCAAGCGAAAGCGUUAAGCAUCCCACCUGGGGAGUACGCCGGCAACGGUGAAACUCAAAGGAAUUGACGGAAGGG
rnacentral:rRNA from 1 species